rnacentral:lncRNA from 1 species
CUUUUUCUGCCUCUCUUCUAUGCUCUACCUCCCAUCACGACAAAUUCCUACCAGCUUUUUUUCCCAGAGACAGCUUACUUUCAUUUUGCAAAUCACCCAGUGUCUUAAUUCACCAUGCCCGAGCCUCUCGGGACAAGUCUAUGAAUAACAUGUUAGUAAUGCGAAGCCUUGGCUCCUCUGGGAUAUGGGAAGGGUCACAGAAGAGAUGGGGCAGAAGAGUGUGUGGCCUGUGGCAGAGAUGGCAGCACACAGAUUUUCUCUUGUGUCGGGGGCAGCCUGCAUGCUUUUCCUUGUGGCUAAUCUCCUGGGGCAAGUAUACCAGCUGCAGUGGCCCCCAGCUGUACUCUGAAUGCACACUAUUCCAGAAGCCUCAGCCUCAGCUGCUUCCUGACCUCUGCUGCAGGUGUGUGGUGCCCAUAGCGGGAGCAACAACAGCUAACUCGUCCUGCGAACCUGUUUCCAAGGUUCAGAGCAGCAGAACAGACUGAAGCCUCCAAAACUGUGAACCGAAAUGGACCUUCUUGUGUAAAC